UACGGAGGGGGCUAGCGUUGUUCGGAAUUACUGGGCGUAAAGCGCACGUAGGCGGCUUUGUAAGUUAGAGGUGAAAGCCCGGAGCUCAACUUCGGAAUUGCCUUUAAGACUGCAUCGCUAGAAUCGUGGAGAGGUGAGUGGAAUUCCGAGUGUAGAGGUGAAAUUCGUAGAUAUUCGGAAGAACACCAGUGGCGAAGGCGACUCACUGGACACGUAUUGACGCUGAGGUGCGAAAGCGUGGGGAGCAAACAGG
rnacentral:rRNA from 1 species